rnacentral:rRNA from 1 species
GAUGAACGCUGGCGGCGUGCCUAAUACAUGCAAGUCGAGCGAACAGACGAUGAGCUUGCUGCUCUGACGUUAGCCGCGCACGUGUGUGUAACGCGUGGAUCACCUCCCUAUAAGACUGGUAACACUUCGGGAAACCGGAGCUAAUCCCGGAUAAUAUAUUGAACCGCAUGGUUCAAUGGUGAAAGUCGGCUUUGCUGUCACUUCUCGAUGGAUCCGCGCCGCAUUGGCUAGUUGGUAAGUUAACGGCUUACCAAGGCAACGAGGCGUAGCCGAACUGAGGGGGUGAUCGGCGGCAUUGGAGGUGAGACAGGGUCAAGAGUACUACGGGAGGCAGCAGUAGGGAACGGGAGGCAAUGGGCGAAAGCCUGACGGAGCAACGGCGCGUGAGUGAUGAAGGUCUUCGGAUCGGAAUACUCUGUUAUUGGGGAAGAACAGCUGUGUAAGGAAAUAUGGCCGGAUUGACGGUAACUAAUCAGGAAGCCACGGCUAACUACGUG